UUUUUUCAUUUUUUUUUGUUCUUUUCCACCUUCAAACAGUAACCCAAUCCCCUGAAGAUCACCCUUUUAAUUUCCACUGUUUCCGUAUACAGUACUGCAUGCACGACCAUGUAUUAUUAAUUCCUCACAUGCCCCUCUCCCCUUCAUCAUUCUCUCCCACUUCUAUUUAUAUUCACUGUUAGUCUACCAAAGCCUUCAAGUUGUUAACUAUUGAUGGCAUCUGCAAGGACCUACUACUCAUUUAGCCUCAGGGUGUUUGUUAUAGUCCUUUUUCUCUUAUCUCUCACAUUAUCACUUUCCAUAUCAGUUGAUGAUGAAUCAAGUGUGGGAGAAAACAAGAAAAUUUUAGGGUCAAGGCCACCUGGGUGUGUGAACAAGUGUGUGAAUUGCAGACCAUGUCAGGCUACUUUGGUUAUUCCUCCACAUUCUAAAUUCAUUGAUUCUUCUCAUUGGGAAGAUAAUUACUAUCUCCUUUCGUGGAAAUGCAAAUGUGGUGAUAAAAUCUUUCAACCUUGAUCUUUAAGUUGUUAGAUGAUGCUAUGUGAAUUGUGUUCAAGUGUUUUGUUGUAUAAUUAGAUGCAGGUUAUAACCAUGUAUCUGAUUAUGUGCCUCUUUUUCUCAUUAAGUAAUAUUGUAUCUAAUUUGCGAAUUAUUGAAUUCAAGUAUUAGGGUAUGUUUCUUUUUCCCCCCGUUAAGUCCUAUACAGGUGGAAUGAGUAAAGAUGUCUGUAUGGAUAAAGUGUUGUUUAUAUAAAGAUGGUUCUGAGUAAA